AGUUCGGCUGGGAUCGGUGACAGGUGCUGCAUGGCUGUCGUCAGCUCGUGUCGUGAGAUGUUGGGUUAAGUCCCGCAACGAGCGCAACCCUUGUCCUUAGUUGCCAGCAUUCAGUUGGGCACUCUAAGGAGACUGCCGGUGUCAAACCGGAGGAAGUGGGGAUGACGUCAAGUCCUCAUGGCCCUUAUGUCCAGGGCUACACACGUGCUACAAUGGCCGGUACAAAGGGCGCAAGACCGCGAGGUGGAGCAAAUCCCAAAAAACCGGUCUCAGUUCGGAUUGGAGUCUGCAACUCGACUCCAUGAAGUUGGAAUCGCUAGUAAUCGCGUAUCAGCAUGACGCGGUGAAUACCGUUCCCGGGCCUU
rnacentral:rRNA from 1 species